rnacentral:rRNA from 1 species
UUAAAUUGAAGAGUUUGAUCAUGGCUCAGAUUGAACGCUGGCGGCAGGCCUAACACAUGCAAGUCGAACGGUAGCACAGAGAGCUUGCUCUUGGGUGACGAGUGGCGGACGGGUGAGUAAUGUCUGGGAAACUGCCCGAUGGAGGGGGAUAACUACUGGAAACGGUAGCUAAUACCGCAUAACGUCUUCGGACCAAAGUGGGGGACCUUCGGGCCUCACACCAUCGGAUGUGCCCAGAUGGGAUUAGCUAGUAGGUGGGGUAAUGGCUCACCUAGGCGACGAUCCCUAGCUGGUCUGAGAGGAUGACCAGCCACACUGGAACUGAGACACGGUCCAGACUCCUACGGGAGGCAGCAGUGGGGAAUAUUGCACAAUGGGCGCAAGCCUGAUGCAGCCAUGCCGCGUGUAUGAAGAAGGCCUUCGGGUUGUAAAGUACUUUCAGCGGGGAGGAAGGCGUUAAGGUUAAUAACCUUGGCGAUUGACGUUACCCGCAGAAGAAGCACCGGCUAACUCCGUGCCAGCAGCCGCGGUAAUACGGAGGGUGCAAGCGUUAAUCGGAAUUACUGGGCGUAAAGCGCACGCAGGCGGUCUGUCAAGUCGGAUGUGAAAUCCCCGGGCUUAACCUGGGAACUGCAUUCGAAACUGGCAGGCUAGAGUCUUGUAGAGGGGGGUAGAAUUCCAGGUGUAGCGGUGAAAUGCGUAGAGAUCUGGAGGAAUACCGGUGGCGAAGGCGGCCCCCUGGACAAAGACUGACGCUCAGGUGCGAAAGCGUGGGGAGCAAACAGGAUUAGAUACCCUGGUAGUCCACGCCGUAAACGAUGUCGACUUGGAGGUUGUGCCCUUGAGGCGUGGCUUCCGGAGCUAACGCGUUAAGUCGACCGCCUGGGGAGUACGGCCGCAAGGUUAAAACUCAAAUGAAUUGACGGGGGCCCGCACAAGCGGUGGAGCAUGUGGUUUAAUUCGAUGCAACGCGAAGAACCUUACCUACUCUUGACAUCCAGCGAAUUCGGUAGAGAUACCUUAGUGCCUUCGGGAACGCUGAGACAGGUGCUGCAUGGCUGUCGUCAGCUCGUGUUGUGAAAUGUUGGGUUAAGUCCCGCAACGAGCGCAACCCUUAUCCUUUGUUGCCAACGGGUUAUGCCGGGAACUCAAAGGAGACUGCCAGUGAUAAACUGGAGGAAGGUGGGGAUGACGUCAAGUCAUCAUGGCCCUUACGAGUAGGGCUACACACGUGCUACAAUGGCGCAUACAAAGAGAAGCGACCUCGCGAGAGCAAGCGGACCUCAUAAAAUGCGUCGUAGUCCGGAUUGGAGUCUGCAACUCGACUCCAUGAAGUCGGAAUCGCUAGUAAUCGUAGAUCAGAAUGCUACGGUGAAUACGUUCCCGGGCCUUGUACACACCGCCCGUCACACCAUGGGAGUGGGUUGCAAAAGAAGUAGGUAGCUUAACCUUCGGGAGGGCGCUUACCACUUUGUGAUUCAUGACUGGGGUGAAGUCGUAACAAGGUAACCGUAGGGGAACCUGCGGUUGGAUCACCUCCUUACCUGAA